rnacentral:rRNA from 1 species
UACGUAGGGUGCAAGCGUUGUCCGGAAUCAUUGGGCGUAAAGCGCGCGUAGGUGGCUUCGUAAGUCCGUUGUGAAAGUCAAAGGCUCAACCUUUGAAUGCCGAUGGAUACUGCGAAGCUAGAGUACGGAAGAGGCGAGUGGAAUUCCUGGUGUAGCGGUGGAAUGCGCAGAUAUCAGGAGGAAUACCGAUGGCGAAGGCAGGUCUCUGGGCUGACACUGACGCUCAUGCACGAAGGCGUGGGGAGCAAACAGG